CAGCCGCCACGGUAAUACAGAGGGUGCGAGCGUUAAUCGGAUUUACUGGGCGUAAAGCGUGCGUAGGCGGCUUCUUAAGUCGGAUGUGAAAUCCCUGAGCUUAACUUAGGAAUUGCAUUCGAUACUGGGAAGCUAGAGUAUGGGAGAGGAUGGUAGAAUUCCAGGUGUAGCGGUGAAAUGCGUAGAGAUCUGGAGGAAUACCGAUGGCGAAGGCAGCCAUCUGGCCUAAUACUGACGCUGAGGUACGAAAGCAUGGGGAGCAAACAGGAUUAGAUACCCGCGUAGUCCCUGUCUCUUAUAA
rnacentral:rRNA from 1 species